UGCCCCCUACGGGACGCAGCAGUGAGGAAUAUUGGGCAAUGGGGGCAACCCUGACCCAGCCAUGCCGCGUGAGUGAAGAAGGUCUUCGGAUCGUAAAGCUCUUUCGGACGUGACGAUGAUGACGGUAGCGUCUAAAGAAGCACCGGCAAACUUCGUGCCAGCAGCCGCGGUAAUACGAAGGGUGCGAGCGUUGUUCGGAAUUACUGGGCGUAAAUGGAGUGUAGGCGGAUAUGUAAGAUAGCGGUGAAAUGCCGUGGCUCAACCCUGGAACUGCCAGUAUGACUAU
rnacentral:rRNA from 1 species